UACGUAGGGUGCGAGCGUUUGUCCGGAUUAUUGGGCGUAAAGGGCUCGUAGGCGGCUUGUCGCGUCGGGAGUGAAAGCCCCCGGCUCAACUGGGGAGGGUCAUCGGUAACGGUCGUGCUAUGAGUGCAGGAGAGGGAAGUGGAACUCCGGGAGUAGCGGUGAAAUGCGUAGAGACCCGGAGGAACACCAGUGGCGAAGGCGGCUUCCUGGUCUGCGACUGACGCUGUGGCGCGAAAGCU
rnacentral:rRNA from 1 species